GCUGGGGCAUGGUGAUGGGUGCCUGUAAUCCCAGCUACUUGGGAGGCUGAGGCAGGAGAAUUGCUUGAACCUGGGAGGUGUAGAUUGCAGUGAGCCAAGAUUGUGCCACUGUACUCUAGCCUGGGUGACAGAGCAAGACUCUGUCUCAA
rnacentral:SRP_RNA from 1 species